rnacentral:rRNA from 1 species
UACGAACCGUGCGAACGUUAUUCGGAAUCACUGGGCUUAAAGCGCGUGUAGGCGGGACGGCACGUCGGCCGCUGAAAUCCCCCGGCUCAACCGGGGAAGGGGCGCCGAUACGACCGCCCUGGAGGGACGUAGGGGGGGCUGGAACUUCCGGUGGAGCGGUGAAAUGCGUUGAGAUCGGAAGGAACGCCCGUGGCGAAAGCGAGCCCCUGGACGUCUACUGACGCUGAGGCGCGAAAGCUAGGGGAGCAAACGGG